rnacentral:rRNA from 1 species
UACGGGGGGGGCAAGCGUUGUUCGGAAUUACUGGGCGUAAAGGGCGUGUAGGCGGUUGGUCAAGUCCGAUGUGAAAGCCCGGGGCUCAGCUUCGGAAGUGCAUCGGAAACUAGCCAGCUGGAGCGCGAUAGAGGAGGGCGGAAUUCCUGGUGUAGCGGUGAAAUGCGUAGAUAUCAGGAGGAACACCGGCGGCGAAGGCGGCCCUCUGGAUCGUUGCUGACGCUGAGACGCGAAAGCGUGGGGAGCAAACAGG